CACACACACACACACACACACACACACACACACACACACACACACACACACAGCCUCAUAGGUUCAUACACACACACAGCCUCAUAGGUUCAUACACACACACAGCCUCAUAGGUUCACACAGUGUAAGUAAGCUACUCCCCGAGCCCAGAUAGGAUUUAGUUAUUAAAAAUGAGUAGUACUACUGUUGAGUAAAAGUUAGACAGUGUUAAUGUGACUACUGACUAAGGCUUCUCAUACUGAACUUGAAGGAUCCCUCACACAGAGGACAAAACAGAAAAGAUGUCCGAUAAAACUGCAGUUCCUCACAAUAAAAUGACAGCUCUUAAGAUUGUUAAAAUAGAAUGAAGACCAGCUCUAUAUAUGACAUUAAAACAAAAUGUUUUGAGCUGAUUGGAACUCUGGAUCCAAUUCAUUAAGACAGGCCUUUGAAGGCGUUAGAAAAGUCCCCUUUAUCAAUAUGUUCUCUGGGCUGGCUCAGUCCAGUCCAACCUGCAUUGAGUAAUAUGUGGAUUCAAGCUUCAGGUAGAUAGCUGUGAGGAAAGGCUCUCUUUUCUUUCUCUGACUCCCCAGUAAACAUGAACCCAUUGGCCCCAUGUGGGUAUUCGGUGGGCAAGGUGGGCUAGCCCACACCAACCCCACACCAACCCAACACAGGCUAGCCCACACCAACCCCACACCAACCCAACACAGGCUAGCCCACACCAACCCCACACCAACCCAACACAGGCUAGCCCACACCAACCCCACACCAACCCAACACAGGCUAGCCCACACCAACCCCACACAGGCUAGCCCACACCAACCCCACACCAAUCCAACACAGGCUAGCCCACACCACACCAACCCCACACCAACCCAACACAGGCUAGCCCACACCAACCCCACACAGGCUAGCACACACCAACCCCAAACCAAUCCAACACAGGCUAGCCCACACCAACCCCACACCAACCCAACACAGGCUAGCCCACACCAACCCCACACCAACCCCACACCAACCCCACACAGGCUAGCACACACCAACCCCAAACCAAUCCAACACAGGCUAGCCCACACCAACCCCACACCAACCCAACACAGGCUAGCCCACACCAACCCCACACAGGCUAGCCCACACCAACCCCAAACCAAUCCAACACAGGCUAGCCCACACCAACCCCACACCAACCCAACACAGGCUAGCCCACACCAACCCCACACCAACCCAACACAGGCUAGCCCACACCAACCCAACACAGGGUAGUCUACAUCAACACAACACAGGCCAGCCCACACCAACCCAACACAGGCUAGCCCACACCAACCCCACACCAACCCAACACAGGCUAGCCCACACCAACCCAACACAGGCUAGCCCACACCAACCCAACACAGGCUAGCCCACACCAACACAACACUGGCCAGGCCACACCAACACAGGCUUGCCCACACCAACCCAACACAGGCUAGCCCACACCAAUCCCACACCAACCCAACACAGGCUAGCCCACACCAACCCAACACAGGCUAGCCCACACCAAUCCCACACCAACCCAACACAGGCUAGCCCACACCAACCCAACACAGGCUAGCCCACACCAACACAACACUGGCCAGGCCACACCAACACAGGCCAGCCCACACCAACCCAACACAGGCUAGCCCACACCAAUCCCACACCAACCCAACACAGGCUAGCACAAUCCCACACCAACCCAACACAGGCUAGCCCACACCAACCCCACACCAACCCAACACAGGCUAGCCCACACCAACCCAACACAGGCUAGCCCACACCAACCCAACACAGGCUAGCCCACACCAACACAACACUGGCCAGGCCACACCAACACAGGCUUGCCCACACCAACACAACACAGGCUUGCCCACACCAUCCCAACACAGGGUAGCCCACACCAACACAACACGGCAAGGUCACACCAACCCAACACAGGGUAGCCCACACCAACCCAACACAGGGUAGCCCACACCAACACAACACGGGCAAGGUCACACCAACACAACACGGGCAAGGUCACACCAACACAACACGGGCAAGGUCACACAAACACAACACGGGCAAGGUCACACCAACACAACACGGGCAAGGUCACACCAACACAACACGGGCAAGGUCACACCAACACAACACGGGCAAGGUCACACCAACACAACACGGGCAAGGUCACACCAAGCCCAGCUAGAGGCGGGGGCUCAUUAGAAUAUUUGGGGGCGUGGUUUACACACAGUUGUUUUUGUGCAGCCGUUACUGAGAGUGUGGUUCCUGUUGAAGUGUGGUUCCUGUUGAAGUGUGGUUCCUGUUGAAGUGUGGUUCCUGUUGAAGUGUUCUGUGUUGUGCUGCCUAUAUCCUGAUGAUCUUGUAAACGGCUAAUGAUCAAGUCUUUAGAAACACUUAUAUAAAUGUUUCUCUUGUUAAAUAUAUUCUGUAUGUAUGAUGGUAAUAACUUGGUUGUCUUUCUGAAAAAAUUGUAUCACGUUCCAUAAAUACCUGUAAGAGUAGAAAAUUAUGCAAUUUAUGCAUUGAAUUAAGUUUAAAUAAAUAAAUAUUAAAUAGCGAAGGCGCAUCAGCCCAAUGUGGGCAGCUUACAAGGGGUCAAUAUUUUAGCCUGCAUUGGGUUCAAAUCGUGACAAUUUGGACAUGUUUGCUGGGAAAAGAAGGGUGUAUUUCAGACAAAGUGACAGCUGCCUCACCAGAUCUGGGCUGCCCACACUGAGCCACACUGGGCAAAUGCCUUGGGGGCCAAUGUGGAGCCGAUGAGCAAAGGCGCAUCGGCCCAAUGUGGGCAGCCUAGAUGGGGCCAAUAUUUUAGCCCGAAUUGGGCCCACAUCGAGACAAUGUGGACAUGUUUGCUGGGGCUAAAACCUACAAUCUCUAGUUCCUUGUAAUUUUAUCGCUCUCUCCACGGUGCCGUGAGAAAACAAUAUAGUCCAAAUCUCCCAAUCUCCUUAAUGUUGUUCUAAUCUAAUGGAUCAUACACACACCUAAUGUCUCACAUUGGGCAUAUUAAGCAGAUUGCCUGCGUUAAACUACUGCUGUCAGAGCAGCAUGACAGACAUUACCAGCACUUAAG
rnacentral:lncRNA from 1 species